UUCAUUGGUUCCAAGUUUCACCGCUGUCCCGCCGCGAGUUCAGGCUUCCUCUUCCGACAAAGGAGACCUACUGUACUUUUUUCUUUUUUCUUCUCCUGCGUGAGAAGGGCAAGUUCCACGUUUUGAUCGAACAAAGUCAGGUCUUAAGAUUUCUCCACUGCUACCUGUUGAGCUUGGAAGUCAUCCUGCUUUCUAACUCUUUAACUGGCAGAGAAAACUGAACCCAACCAAGAGCCCUUAGUUCAGUCAGAUUCAGAAAUUCCAGUGUCGAUUAAGUGGAAAGACGGACCCUCAUUCUAUCUGCUUGGCAAACAGUCCUUAUUAAUAGCCACAUGGACAGAACCUGAGGUUUGGAGAUGCGCGAAUGGCUUUCAGCCUGUGCUGGAAAGCUCCCAGGAGCCAAUGGAGUUUUCUGCAGGCUCUGAACAGUGGGUUUCCUCUCUUUCCCUGGAGGACAGUGGGGAGCUGUUUGGAUCUUAAGAUGAAAGCCUACCUGGAGGAAAACACUGAAGUCACCAGCAGUGGCAGCCUUACCCCUGAAAUCCAGUUACGGCUUUUAACCCCCAGGUGCAAGUUUUGGUGGGAAAGGGCUGACCUGUGGCCCUACAGUGAUCCCUACUGGGCUAUCUACUGGCCAGGAGGCCAGGCUCUGUCUAGGUAUGUUUCAUUGAAAUAUUGAAAGUCCUUCUUCCUUUAUGUAUCCACCCCCCACCUCCAUUUCAUUGGCUUCAUUCUCUCUGACCCCAGUAGCAGAACCAGAAAGUCAUUGAGGUCCAUGCAAAGCCCCAACUUGUAUAUGGUUUGGAUUGCCAUCCUUCUGGUAAAGUAGAAGAGGAUUUGUCCUGUAGGAAGACAAGUCUUCUCCAAAAAGAUGUCCUAUAGUUAGUUACCCAUGAUAGUGACACCCUGUAAUCCUAGCAUUUAGAGGCUGUGGCAUGAGGAGUAGGAGUUUGAAGCUAUCCUGUGAAAUGAAGCAGUGCUUUCUUAAAACAUUUAGUCUCUCACAUACUUGCCUUUGCACUGCCACAGAGAGGACGACAGGCGUUGAGGCCUCUUGAGUCUGGGGUUUCAUCUGAGACUAAGUGAGAAUACAGGGAUUGUCAACAAAACAUUCAGAGACGGCUGUACUACAUCCAGAACUGGUCACUGUUAGUUUAGCUUGGCCUCAUGACAGUCAUAGAUGUGGAUACCUUAACAAAAUAGACCUCUUCACACCUGCCCUGGGUAACCUUUGUUUUCAACUCCAAUGAAUCUGGAGUUACCUAUAAGACACACCUCUUGGCAUGUCUCUGAGGGUGUGCUUUUCUUAUGCUUUCUAUUGCUGUAAUUAAAAAAAAAUAACCAAAAGC
rnacentral:lncRNA from 1 species